rnacentral:rRNA from 1 species
ACGGGAGGCAGCAGUCGGGAAUAUUGCACAAUGGGGGAAACCCUGAUGCAGCGACGCCGCGUAAAGGAAGAAGGUCUUCGGAUUGUAAACCUCUGUCUUUGGUGACGAAGAAGUGACGGUAGCCAAGGAGGAAGCCACGGCUAACUACGUGCCAGCAGCCGCGGUAAUACGUAGGUGGCAAGCGUUAUCCGGAAUUACUGGGUGUAAAGGGAGCGCAGGCGGGAUAGCAAGUCAGCGGUGAAAAUUAUGGGCUUAACUCAUAAACUGCCGUUGAAACUGUUAUUCUUGAGUGGAGUAGAGGCAGGCGGAAUUCCGAGUGUAGCGGUGAAAUGCGUAGAUAUUCGGAGGAACACCAGUGGCGAAGGCGGCCUGCUGGGCUCUAACUGACGCUGAGGCUCGAAAGUGUGGGGAGCAAACAGGAUUAGAUACCCUGGUA